GUGGAUGAAUCGGGAGCGGAUCGGGUGGCCGUCAUGGUCUUCUUCCCUACCAACAACAUUGGCCUGCCUGAUUAGUUUCAGGCGCAGUAGCACCUGAAGCUAGGUUUACCAGGACAACCUCCAUGUGAUUUGUGACUAUUUCAAAUUCUAUGCCUGAUGCCUCCCUUAUUGUUUGGAUUCACUUAUCUUCGUUCAGUAUAAGAGGAUAUAUGCAUGGGAAGUUUAUUACAGAUUGCACAAUAUAUACUUCUAAUGUUGUUCAGAUGAAACUGAUCCACAUAUUUAGUUGGACACUUGUACAAUGUUCGUAUGCAUAAGGAUGUAUGGUUGGUUUUGUACGGGAGCUGCUCUUCCAUGUGAAUGCAAUUCAAUCGAUCCACCGUGGUAUUCUGCCCACCUCUAGGAGAGGCUCUACAGGAUUUCUGAAUAAGAGCCCACAUGACAUGUUUAAUUCUCAUGGGGCAGUAAUUUCCAUUGUUUAGACAUCUGGAGUAGCUUACUUCUAUGGAGCGUUGUAACAUGUUGGACAUCAAUUGGCUCAUCAGAUGGGGUCUUGUAUUCAGUUUUCUUAUGAUGGUGAUAUCA